AGAGUUUGAUCCUGGCUCAGGACGAACGCUGACGGUGUGCUUUAGGCAUGCAAGUCGAACGAGAAAGCCCUUCGGGGUGAGUAAAGUGGCGAACGGGUGAGUAACACGUGGGCAACCUGCCCCUCGCAGGGGGACAACCGGAGGAAACUCCGGCUAAUACCCCGUACGCUUGUUGGAUCGCAUGGUCCGGCAAGGAAAGGUAGCUUCGGCCAUCCGGCGAGGGAUGGGCCCGCGUUGCAUUAGCUAGUUGGUGGGGUAACGGCCUACCAAGGCGACGAUGCGUAGCUGGUCUGAGAGGAUGAUCAGCCACACUGGGACUGAGACACGGCCCAGACUCCUACGGGAGGCAGCAGCCAGGAAUCUUGGGCAAUGGGCGAAAGCCUGACCCAGCAACACCGUGUGGGCGAUGAAGGCCUUAGGGUCGUAAAGCCCUGUUGAUAGGGACGAAGGGCGAAGGGUUAAUAGCCCCUAGCUUGACGGUACCUUUCGAGGAAGCCCCGGCUAACUACGUGCCAGCAGCCGCGGUAAUACGUAGGGGGCGAGCGUUGUCCGGAAUUAUUGGGCGUAAAGAGCGUGUAGGCGGUUCGGUAAGUCUGCUGUGAAAUCCUGGGGCUCAACCCUGGGCGUGCAGCGGAUACUGCCGGGCUAGAGGGUGGUAGAGGCGAGUGGAAUUCCGAGUGUAGCGGUGAAAUGCGCAGAUAUUCGGAGGAACACCAGUAGCGAAGGCGGCUCGCUGGGCCACACCUGACGCUGAGACGCGAAAGCGUGGGGAGCGAACAGGAUUAGAUACCCCUGUAGUCC
rnacentral:rRNA from 1 species